GACAAAGACGUGGAGAGUCAUGAGGCCACUGCUAAAAGAGAUUAAACCUAACCCCAAAGAGAGACUUGAGGCCCCAAGGAUUGGGAAGAUACAUGCGUUUUCGUAAAGGAGGGAAACUACAACCGCACAGCUAACCUCGAAGACUUCCUAGCUAAAUGUCAGACAGUAUACCAAGGACAAAACCUGACUAUGCCUCUAUACUUCCUUACAAUCAAUGCUAAUCUGUAAACUGGAAUAAGCUGUUAUUUUAUUUGACAAAGAUGACAUUGUGAAGAAAGAAAAAUGAUGCUUCAAUAUCAGUACAAGAUCUUCCCCAUACUUACUGUGCUUCAAGGAAUUUUGGUGUUGAAUCCAAUCAAGUGUCAAAACAUGAAUACAGGGAGAAGAGAGUGAAAACAGGCCCAGCCCUUCAAUCUCCACCAUGUUCCUAAAGGCCCAUCUUGUCAUUUCACACACACACACACACACACACACACACACACAUACACACAUACACACACACACACACACACACACACACACACAUACACACAUACACACACACACACACACACACACACACACAUACACACAUACACACACACACACACACACACACACACACACACACACACACACAUCCCUGCUUUAGUCCUUUCUGAGACGUCUCUACAGAGAGAGACCUACCCAUUUGAACGAAUCAGAAAACCUGGCAGCUGUACAUACUGAUGAGGCGUGAUGCACUCUGAACUGAGUGAUGGAUUUAUAAAUUGUGAAGACAACUUGGGAAAACUGACCAGCAUAAUAUGGGAAAAUGGAAGAUGCACACCUGCUAGGAGCUCCUUCCAGAAUGUGCAGAACAAGCGGAUACGGAGUGGGAAACCA
rnacentral:lncRNA from 1 species